rfam:Ciona intestinalis ciona0004, whole genome shotgun sequence.
GCACUGGUGGUGUAGUGGUAUCAUGCAAGAUUCCCAUUCUUGCGACCCGGGUUCGUUUCCCGGGCAGUGCA